GGUUAAGCGACUAAGCGUACACGGUGGAUGCCCUGGCAGUCAGAGGCGAUGAAGGGCGUGCUAAUCUGCGAUAAGCGCCGGUAAGGUGAUAUGAACCGUUAUAACCGGCGAUACCCGAAUGGGGAAACCCAGUGUGACUCGUCACACUAUCAUUAACUGAAUCCAUAGGUUAAUGAGGCGAACCGGGGGAACUGAAACAUCUAAGUACCCCGAGGAAAAGAAAUCAACCGAGAUUCCCCCAGUAGCGGCGAGCGAACGGGGAGGAGCCCAGAGCCUGAAUCAGCAUGUGUGUUAGUGGAAGCGUCUGGAAAGGCGCGCGAUACAGGGUGACAGCCCCGUACACAAAAGCGCAUGUGCUGUGAGCUCGAUGAGUAGGGCGGGACACGUGGUAUCCUGUCUGAAUAUGGGGGGACCAUCCUCCAAGGCUAAAUACUCCUGACUGACCGAUAGUGAACCAGUACCGUGAGGGAAAGGCGAAAAGAACCCCGGCGAGGGGAGUGAAAAAGAACCUGAAACCGUGUACGUACAAGCAGUGGGAGCACAGGUUUACCUGUGUGACUGCGUACCUUUUGUAUAAUGGGUCAGCGACUUAUAUUCUGUAGCAAGGUUAACCGCAUAGGGGAGCCGGAGGGAAACCGAGUCUUAAUUGGGCGUUAAGUUGCAGGGUAUAGACCCGAAACCCGGUGAUCUAGCCAUGGGCAGGUUGAAGGUUGGGUAACACUAACUGGAGGACCGAACCGACUAAUGUUGAAAAAUUAGCGGAUGACCUGUGGCUGGGGGUGAAAGGCCAAUCAAACCGGGAGAUAGCUGGUUCUCCCCGAAAGCUAUUUAGGUAGCGCCUCGUGAAUUCAUCUCCGGGGGUAGAGCACUGUUUCGGCUAGGGGGCCAUCCCGGCUUACCAACCCGAUGCAAACUGCGAAUACCGGAGAAUGUUAUCACGGGAGACACACGGCGGGUGCUAACGUCCGUCGUGAAGAGGGAAACAACCCAGACCGCCAGCUAAGGUCCCAAAGUCAUGGUUAAGUGGGAAACGAUGUGGGAAGGCCCAGACAGCCAGGAUGUUGGCUUAGAAGCAGCCAUCAUUUAAAGAAAGCGUAAUAGCUCACUGGUCGAGUCGGCCUGCGCGGAAGAUGUAACGGGGCUAAACCAUGCACCGAAGCUGCGGCAGCGAACGUAUCACUUAAAGCGAUUCAGCGGGUUACGAUUGACGGAGCGAAGCGACGUCAAAGCGUAUACAAAGUCGAGUCGGUUUAAGGAUACGUUCGUUGGGUAGGGGAGCGUUCUGUAAGCCUGCGAAGGUGGCCUGUGAGGGUUGCUGGAGGUAUCAGAAGUGCGAAUGCUGACAUAAGUAACGAUAAAGCGGGUGAAAAGCCCGCUCGCCGGAAGACCAAGGGUUCCUGUCCAACGUUAAUCGGGGCAGGGUGAGUCGACCCCUAAGGCGAGGCCGAAAGGCGUAGUCGAUGGGAAACGGGUUAAUAUUCCCGUACUUGGUGUUACUGCGAAGGGGGGACGGAGAAGGCUAUGUUGGCCGGGCGACGGUUGUCCCGGUUUAAGCGUGUAGGUGUGUGUUCCAGGUAAAUCCGGUUCACUUUAACACUGAGGCGUGAUGACGAGGCACUACGGUGCUGAAGCAACAAAUGCCCUGCUUCCAGGAAAAGCCUCUAAGCAUCAGGUAACAUCAAAUCGUACCCCAAACCGACACAGGUGGUCAGGUAGAGAAUACCAAGGCGCUUGAGAGAACUCGGGUGAAGGAACUAGGC
rnacentral:rRNA from 1 species